UGCUAUAAUUGUCAGCUAAGUGGCGCACGGGUGAGUAAUGUAUAGAUAACCUGCCCUUAAGAAAGGAAUAACAGUUGGAAACGACUGCUAAUGCCCUAUAUGCCUUUAAUACAUAAGUAUGCAAGGGAAACGCUUUAGUGCUUAAGGAUGGGUCUGUAUGGUAUCAGCUUGUUGGUGAGGUAAUGGCUCACCAAGGCUAUGACGCCUAACUGGUUUGAGAGGAUGAUCAGUCACACUGGAACUGAGACACGGUCCAGACUCCUACGGGAGGCAGCAGUGGGGAAUAUUGCACAAUGGACGAAAGUCUGAUGCAGCAACGCCGCGUGGAGGAUGACACAUUUCGGUGCGUAAACUCCUUUUAUAUAGGAAGAUAAUGACGGUACUAUAUGAAUAAGCACCGGCUAACUCCGUGCCAGCAGCCGCGGUAAUACGGAGGGUGCAAGCGUUACUCGGAAUCACUGGGCGUAAAGAGCGUGUAGGCGGGUAUAUAAGUCAGAAGUGAAAUCCAAUAGCUCAACUAUUGAACUGCUUUUGAAACUGUAUACCUAGAAUGUGGGAGAGGUAGAUGGAAUUUCUGGUGUAGGGGUAAAAUCCGUAGAGAUCAGAAGGAAUACCGAUUGCGAAGGCGAUCUACUGGAACAUUAUUGACGCUGAGACGCGAAAGCGUGGGGAGCAAACAGGAUUAGAUACCCUGGUAGUCCACGCCCUAAACGAUGUACACUAGUUGUUGUGAGGCUCGACCUUGCAGUAAUGCAGUUAACACAUUAAGUGUACCGCCUGGGGAGUACGGUCGCAAGAUUA
rnacentral:rRNA from 1 species